rnacentral:rRNA from 1 species
AUUGAACGCUGGCGGCAGGCCUAACACAUGCAAGUCGAGCGGAUGAAGGGAGCUUGCUCCUGGAUUCAGCGGCGGACGGGUGAGUAAUGCCUAGGAACCUGCCUGGUAGUGGGGGAUAACGUCCGGAAACGGGCGCUAAUACCGCAUACGUCCUGAGGGGGAAAGUGGGGGAUCUUCGGACCUCACGCUAUCAGAGGAGCCUAGGUCGGAUUAGCUAGUUGGUGGGGUAAAGGCCUACCAAGGCGACGAUCCGUAACUGGUCUGAGAGGAUGAUCAGUCACACUGGAACUGAGACACGGUCCAGACUCCUACGGGAGGCAGCAGUGGGGAAUAUUGGACAAUGGGCGAAAGCCUGAUCCAGCCAUGCCGCGUGUGUGAAGAAGGUCUUCGGAUUGUAAAGCUCUUUAAGUUGGGAGGAAGGGCAGUAAGUUAAUACCUUUCUGUUUUGACGUUACCAACAGAAUAAGCACCGGCUAACUACGUG